AUAUACUUUAAAAUAAAAAAAAUCAGUUCUGCAUUUUCUUUUAAACAGGCAUCUAACCAGCUUGUUUUUAAUUUUGAGAUUUUUUUUUCUUUCUUAAUUCUGAGUCAUUAAAGCUGAAAAUACAUUUUUAGGAUAUGUUGGUGCUGAGUAGAUUUUUAUUACAUAUUUUAAAAGGAAACAACUGUGUGAAUUUAGUAAAGAUACCUGUUUCUUUUCACAAUGCAUGUGUAAAUGUUUGUAAUCUGGCUUUAACUUCUCCCCUUCAGUGGUAUUGAAGCAAAUUGUACCGCUUCCAUUUCUUUUCCAGUAAAAACAAAACAAAAUUUUGGUACAUUAUUUGAUGAUUACAUUAAAAUGUGACAUUAUUCAAGAAAAAAAACACAAACAAACACCAUUUUGCUGUUUUAUUUGAACAGCGAUAGUGUUGAAUUCUUAAUGAUAGUUUCAAGCCUGUCUGGUUGGUGUGUUGGAGAAUAUUUUAGUAUUUACACUGUUUUUAAAAGUCUUCUGAGGACUAUGUUCAUCCGUAAAAUGUGCUUCCGUUCCCACAAUUUAGACCUGGAAGUAACCCACUAAACUAGCCUUGGAUUCUGUGUCAAGUGACUUCUUUUUUCUUCCGACUAUUCCACAUGUACAAAUGUCAACCCUCCAAUUCAUUGCUGCACAGAAGAUGAUAAAGGGAAACUGCCAUCUUGCUUUUUGUAGCGGACUGCAUUGCAAUAUUAGUGUGAUGCUCUGUCGGUCUGCGUUCUUCUAACACAGCCGUGGAUCGCUGUUUGUCCUAUUGCAGAGAUUGAUGUUUAUUAUGUUUGAACAGGACACAUCACUGUUCUCAAAAAUAAGGAAAAUAGUAACGCUGUAAGGCACAGAAAACAUUAACUAUUCCGUUUAUCUUCCUUUCUCCUGAUUUGGUUUGUUUAUCACAGUUGAAGUGAAAUUCACUUAAAGAAAAAGUCUCUCUAGAAUACCACUGUCACUUUCCUUGACUGUUUUAGCAUCACGUGUUCAUCACACCAGUAUGCAAAGAUUUUACCCAGUAAAUAGGGCUCGGUUUGAUUUUACAGUUUGAGAAAAUAACUUUAAAUGUUGUCUGCUAAAAAUGCAAAAAAAAAAAACUACUGGUACUUCCAGCGCUUUACCUUUUUUUUUUUUUUAAAUAUAUAUUAAAUUACAGCUCCACUAAAAUAAAAAUAAUUGACUUAAACAUAUUAAAUAUAUUUUCAGUAAUAUAUGGACACCGUUAAAAGGUAAGGGUCUUCUGUGGAGCACAGGAGAGCCUGUUGGCUCCAUUUACGUAAUCCUCUAUAUUGGGUAGCCAAUGUUUGUUCCCUGUGCUCAGCAAAACAGAUGUAAACACUGUUAUUCGGUUUUGGGAAUUUCAAAGACACUGCUAUUUCAGAUAGUCUUGUUUGUUGUUUUUUUUGUUUUUUUUUAAAGAAUGUAGAAUGUAAUAUACCAUCCCCGUUACCUUUUGAUGACAGUGUUCCAUUUUAAUACACAUUCUAUUGGUCCCUUCCGUUUAGGUUUCUUGGUGGCUUCUAGCCAGAUAAGUGACUCUCUGGUAAAGAGAAUGCAUUUAAGAAUUUCUCACUAUUAUAGCACAUUUUAAACAACUGAAAAUACGAUAGAAGCAUUAAUUUUUUUUAAAUUUAUUUUGUUUUGCAGAAGAAAAAUGGAAUAUAAUUUUGUGUCCUAAUUUUAUCCAUAAACUACCCUUUCUGAAAUCAGUGUGGGGAAUAUUUAGAUACAGGUGGUCUCAGUAGAAUGUCUUCAAAAUCUUCUAAAUAAAGGAAUUAUAAAGACUGCCAUGUAAUGCCAAAUAUAUUUGAUUUGAGCAAUGGCAAAAUGAAAAACAGAUUGAGUGUUCUUGACAUACACACACUUGGAGAGGUAAUUCUUGUUCAAAAAGCUUGCAUUCCAACUUUUAUAUGACCUGAUCCUUGUAACCAAAUUGUUGGUGUUAGUGAACUUUUGUUACAUGUAAAGUUUUAUGGUACAGUGCCUUGAGCUUUGGAAAGAUAGUUCAAAACACUGGCAGCAAUCAAAUCAUAACCUUUUGAGAAUGAAACUGUGUCUCUGUCUAGACAAUCGGUCAUUUUUCCUUCCCUUUUCAACGAUGAUGUCACUUAUUUAAUGAAUAAAUGCAGUUUUGGUAGUCAGGUCAGCAGCAAAUUAAUCCUCCUUGUGACAGUGAAUGUAGAAGAAUUCUCUGUAAAUUACUGUAUAUGAACGAAUGCCUUGGAACUGUGGACUGCAUACCUGUAAGCUUAAUUAAACAGGCGCUAGUUUCUGCAGUCUAAGUGGUGAGUGUUAGUUAUCAGCGUGUUUUGGUUAACCCUUUAUUCUGACCUGCUUUGUUAGUCUGUGGGUGUUGUUCCUCCUGCCAUUAAACCUGUCACCAGAUACCACUACGCCACAAUUUCAUGGAACUCUGUUUAACCAUUGCAGCAGUCAUUUUCUUUGAGAAACUUGUCCACCUAUAAGGACAUCAUCAAUUCUCGGCCUGCAUGUGGCCAUGGAAGGCUGUUUUGAGGAACGCUUCUAGUGUUGGUCCCUUAACUGGGUUCUAACCUAGGUAGUACUUUAAGGGUUUAAUGGACCUGAAACUCAAAAGUGCACAGGCGCCAAAUACAAAAUUUGUG
rnacentral:lncRNA from 1 species